GUUGGGUAUGGAGACAUCUACCCCAAGACUCUCCUGGGGAAAAUUGUUGGGGGGCUCUGCUGCAUUGCAGGGGUCCUGGUGAUUGCUCUUCCCAUCCCCAUCAUUGUCAAUAAC
rfam:Otolemur garnettii contig050354, whole genome shotgun sequence.